CCGAUGACUGCGGGAGAGACUGGCCUUGUGCCGGCGCCGAAGGAGCAACCGCCCCGGAAACUCUCAGGCCAAAGGACCGCAGUCAGGUC
rnacentral:ncRNA from 2 species